rnacentral:rRNA from 1 species
UUGACCUCGGAUCAGGUAGGAAUACCCGCUGAACUUAAGCAUAUCAAUAAGCGGAGGAAAAGAAACCAACAGGGAUUGCCCUAGUAACGGCGAGUGAAGCGGCAACAGCUCAAAUUUGAAAUCUGGCCUUCUGGUCCGAAUUGUAAUUUGUAGAGGAUGCUUUUGGUUAGGUACCUUCCGAGUUCCUUGGAACAGGACGCCUUAGAGGGUGAGAGCCCCGUACGGUUGGAUACCGAGCCUCUGUAAAGCUCCUUCGACGAGUCGAGUAGUUUGGGAAUGCUGCUCUAAAUGGGAGGUAAAUUUCUUCUAAAGCUAAAUAUUGGCCAGAGACCGAUAGCGCACAAGUAGAGUGAUCGAAAGAUGAAAAGCACUUUGAAAAGAGGGUUAAAUAGUACGUGAAAUUGUUGAAAGGGAAGGGCUUAUGACCAGACCUUUGCCUUGCGAAUCAUCCGGUGUUCUCACCGGUGCACUUCGCUUGGUUGAGGCCAGCAUCAGUUCUGGCAGUGGGAUAAAGACUUUAGGAAUGUGACUCCCCCGGGAGUGUUAUAGCCUAUUGUGUAAUACCAUUGCUGGGACUGAGGACCGCGCUCGGCUAGGAU